GGGGACAAGUCCGUUGAGGCUGCCAGGCGAGUCAGGCCUUUCUGGACCUCGCCUGACUCGGCUGGGCUGUGCCUGAAAUUGACCCAGCUCCACUAGGAAUUAUGAAGAAACAAGGAGUAAGCCCAAAGCCGCUGCAAUCUUCCCGCCCCAGCCCGUCUAAGCGGCCCUGCGGGGCCUCCCCCGCCCGGGAGCGGGAGGUGGAAAAGUCGGCCCUAGGCGGCGGGAAACUGCCGGGGGGCGCCAGGAGGUCCUCCCCGGGGAGGAUCCCAAAUCUGAAAAAGCGAAAAGGCUUGGAGCUAAAGGUGGUGGCCAAGGCCCUUCUCGGCCCCUUCCAGUUCGUCUGUAAUUCCCUGGCGCAGCUCCGGGAAGAGGUGCACGAACUGCAGGCGCGGUGGUUCCCCAGCAGAACCACUCUGCAUCGGGGAAUUGAAAACAAGGAAUUCCCCAACCAAACAGGGGCACAGGCUGUGUUUGCAGCUCCUGUAAAAGCUCCAUACCCAGAGCCGUGUCUCCCAGCUCCCAGGUGAAGUCUUAUGUAUACAUGGGGCAUUGGCCCAGGUGACUCCAUACUAGUAUCCUAGGCCAUCUAGUAGCUCCUAGGUCUGGGCUCUUGCAAAAAGCUUGCAAUUCAUCAAGGGUUGAGCUGCACAUUGGGGCUUUUAGAUGUGCUGCUGAGGAAGUGAUUUCCUGCAUUUAAUCAUCUUCCGAUGAAUGCUAGAGAAACUGAUCUAGAGUGGCUCCUCUUGGUUAGAACUAGCUGAAGCAUACUGUAUAUACUUACUACUUUUAAAAAUUUCAUAUAAAGGAAUAGAAAAUAAUACUGGAAAAAAAACAAAAAAGGUCACAAUCUUCCAUAAUUCCAUCACUCUUACCAAUUACCUGAAGUUAAAAAACCCUCUCAAGUUUCUCCCUUUGCUUAUCAAGCCCUGCUGCAGAGAGGUAAGCUCUGUUCAGAAUUUGCUUUGUGUCCUGGAUUUUUUCCUAUGCUCACAGAGACAGGAUUAGCUGGCGGUCUUGCUUUGUGUGCUAUCUUUCUAGACAUGUAAAAUAAUACAUUUGAAAUACUUGUUUUAAUGGUAUUUUAUAAUAAAGCAGCUAUUAAUAACU
ensembl:lncRNA DPY19L2P2 DPY19L2 pseudogene 2